UAGAAAAGCUCUCCCCAGUCUCCGUGGGA
rnacentral:piRNA from 1 species